GCCCCCGUAGCUCAGGGGAUAGAGCACUGGUUUCCGGAACCAGGUGUCGGGCGUUCGAAUCGCUCCGGGGGCG
rnacentral:tRNA from 1 species